rnacentral:rRNA from 1 species
AACGAACGCUGGCGGCGCGCCUAAUACAUGCAAGUCGAGCGAGAAGGUGUAGCAAUACACUUGUAAAGCGGCGAACGGGUGAGGAACACGUGAGAAACCUGCCCUGGAGAGGGGAAUAACACUGGGAAACCAGUGCUAAUGCCUCAUGUUGUUAACUGAUCGCAUGGUUGGUUAAUGAAAUGAAUUUUGCUCCGGGAUGGUCUCGCGCCCUAUCAGCUUGAUGGUGAGGUAACGGCUCACCAUGGCGACGACGGGUAGCUGGUCUGAGAGGACGAACAGCCACACUGGGACUGAGACACGGCCCAGACUCCUACGGGAGGCAGCAGCUAGGAAUAUUGGGCAAUGGGCGAAAGCCUGACCCAGCAACGCCGCGUGC